GGGAAUCUUGAUGGAAGAAGAAUCAAGUCAUACACCUGGCAAACUCCCAGAAGUUCAAGAGAUUGAUCCUCCCCCACGACAAGUUGCAUCCACUAAGGAAAUUCCAGUCUCUUCGGAAGGGAUGAUUCCAAUCAAUCAACUAAAGGAGUUCAUUGAAGGGACUAUAAAAAAAUAUGAAGUCGCUUCCAAGUCCUCCUUUACCUACGUAAAGCCGUACACUUCAAGGAUCAAUAUGUUGAAGAUGUUUGCUGGCUAUCAACCUCCAAAAUUUCAACAGUUUGAUGGCAAAGGCAAUCCAAAGCAACAUGUGGCACACUUCGUUGAGACAUGAAACAAUGCUGGGACUUAUGGAGAUUACCUCGUCAAGCAGUUUGUUCGCUCAUUAAAAGGAAAUGCUUUUGAUUGGUACAUGGACCUCGAGGCUGGAUCUGUUAAUGGCUGGGAUCAACUAGAGCAAGAAUUCCUCAAUCGAUUUUAUAGCUCGAGACGUACUGUGAGUAUGAUAGAACUUACAAAUACUCGUCAACGAAAGGUUGAAUCAGUUAUCGACUUUAUCAAUCGUUGAAGGAAUGCAAGCCUCAACUGCAAAGACAGGCUUAGUGAAGCUUCGGGCAUAGAGAUGUGCAUCCAAGGCAUGCAUUGGGGACUAUGCUACAUCUUGCAAGGUAUCAAGCCUGGAACAUUUGAAGAACUUGCGACUUGUUCCCAUGACAUAGAGUUGAGCAUGUCCUCCACUGGAAAUGAAAGGUUGCCUAUCUAUGAGCCUCGCAAAGGGAACGACAAGCAAUAAGUCAUGAAAUGGAGCAAGUUUGUACCUAAAUCUAAAAACAAAGACGCUAUGAAUGUCAACACAUCACCUGUGAAGUUCACAGCGAAUGUGAGCAAAAAGCAUAUUAUGAAAUCCCUAGUCCCUAAGACUAGGUGCCAUCAUGAUACCCAAUGAAGGGAAACUUGGGUCGUGACAAGAGGAUUAAGUUUUCUAGUCCUUCCGCUUUCUUUUCAAUCAACAAUAUAUCCGGAUAUAUCAAACUUCAAAUUGUCCGCGUGCCGGGUAUAUUAAGGCCUAUUAAAAGUGGGGCCGACUCAUCCCCGCCCAUCAAAUUUCAUGAUCGGUGAGGCUUGAUUUCGGCAGCGACGAACUCGAUUCAAUCGAACCCCAUUUCUGCAACAGAAAUCAAAAAUUAAAAGUGAAGAAGCAGAAAUGUUUUUAUAUUUUUUUAAUUAUCAAACAAAACAAAACUGAUUGUUUUCUAUAUAUGAAUCAACUCUAGCCGAAAUCAAAAGAAAAUUGGAAGAAAACCUCAAAACCUAUCUUUUUUCUCUCAAACUUUUCUGUCCAACCUCUGAAUUCUUUUGAAAAAAAGCCUAUAUAUACUCACCUCUCAAACCUCCUCUUCUCCUCCUUAACAAAAUGAAUUAAAAUAACUUUGGAGACAAACACGUGAUAAAUGUAAGGUUCGGAUUAAAUGAAAUCGAUCUGACACCCUUCAUUCAUCCAUCACACGCCUUCUAGAGAUUUCAAUCACGUGAUUUUGUUUACAAACGGGCGAGUGAGGUGAGAUGAGGUAAGGAUGAGAAUAUUCUCUGUCAAAGGCCGUUAUGAUACAUGGUAGAAAGAGACGAGGAGGACUAUGUGGGGGAGUGGAUUGGAUUUUCUCGACAGUUUUGGGUGGUGGAAGAUGCGGAGAAGGGGUAGGUGCGGCUAGGUCCUUAGGGAUUAGGG
rnacentral:lncRNA from 1 species